rnacentral:lncRNA from 1 species
UAUUUUCGUGGAUUGUGUUGAAUCCCUGAAGUAUUUGAGUUUGAAUACUGAUUUGGGAUUUGGAUUUUUGGCUAUUCGUCUUUUAUAUAAUUGAAUAAAAAAUAAUAUAUUCGUACACCAUACACUAUUCAUAUCCACAUCUAUAUACAUUAUUGUUCCCAUGCUAUAUCAUAAAAAGAAUCAGUAUAAACCCAGAGCGAAAUAAAAAAUCAAGUAAAAAAAAUGAUGGCCGAUCACCUUUUUCCAAAAAAAAAAUAGAUCCGGAGAAAACCCCACCAACUCCGGUGACAACCCCACCAGUCGGCGCCGCUACACGCCGCCGCCCCUCUCCUAGAUCCCGUCAACCCCUCCCCUUUUUCUGUCGCUAACUAUUGCUGGCACUUCAUUGCGUCUACGAAAUCUGUUGAAAAUAUUCAAUGGAGUAGUGUCGGUGAUAUCAGUCCCAAUUUUGGCAAAAGUUUGUCAGUCCCAAUUUUGGCAAAAGUUUGUUAGAAAAUAGAUGAAGUAGUUGUUGGGUGUAUGGAUCAAGAUAUGAUAAUGGUAUAAAAUAUUGAAUUUGUUAAAUUUCAUGUUUUGGAUAAUGGUCUUAACAGUUUAGAUAUAAUAAUUUUGUAUACUUUUCC